UACGUAGGUGGCGAGCGUUGUCCGGAUUUACUGGGCGUAAAGAGCGCGCAGGCGGUCGUACAAGUCGCGUGUGAAGGCCCCCGGCUCAACUGGGGAGGGUCACGCGAUACUGUUCGACUCGAAGGCAGGAGAGGGAAGUGGAAUUCCCGGUGUAGUGGUGAAAUGCGUAGAUAUCGGGAGGAACACCAGUGGCGAAGGGCGAACUCCUGGCCUGUUCUUGACUGCUGAGGCGC
rnacentral:rRNA from 1 species